rnacentral:tRNA from 1 species
GGUGCCAUGGCCGAGUGGUUAGGCAGAGGUCUGCAAAACCUUGUACACCAGUUCGAACCUGGUUGGCACCUCCA